rnacentral:rRNA from 1 species
UACGAAGGGGGCUAGCGUUGUUCGGAAUUACUGGGCGUAAAGGGCGCGUAGGCGGCUUGGUCAGUCAGGCGUGAAAUCCCCGGGCUCAACCUGGGAACUGCGCUUGAUACUGCCAAGCUUGAGACCGGGAGAGGAUGGCGGAAUACCCAGUGUAGAGGUGAAAUUCGUAGAUAUUGGGUAGAACACCAGUGGCGAAGGCGGCCAUCUGGACCGGAUCUGACGCUGAGGCGCGAAAGCGUGGGGAGCAAACAGG